rnacentral:rRNA from 1 species
UACGUAGGUGGCAAGCGUUGUCCGGAUUUACUGGGCGUAAAGAGCGCGCAGGCGGUCGUAUAAGUCGAAUGUGAAAGCCCCCGGCUCAACUGGGGAGAGUCAUUCGAUACUGUUCGACUCGAAGGCAGGAGAGGGAAGUGGAAUUCCACGUGUAGCAGUGAAAUGCGUAGAGAUGUGGAGGAACACCGAUGGCGAAGGCAGCCCCCUGGGUUAACACUGACGCUCAGGCACGAAAGCGUGGGGAGCAAACAGG